rnacentral:rRNA from 1 species
CCUCGGAGAGUUUGAUCCUGGCUCAGGACGAACGCUGGCGGCGUGCCUAAUACAUGCAAGUCGAGCGGACAGAAGGGAGCUUGCUCCCGGAUGUUAGCGGCGGACGGGUGAGUAACACGUGGGUAACCUGCCUGUAAGACUGGGAUAACUCCGGGAAACCGGAGCUAAUACCGGAUAGUUCCUUGAACCGCAUGGUUCAAGGAUGAAAGACGGUUUCGGCUGUCACUUACAGAUGGACCCGCGGCGCAUUAGCUAGUUGGUGAGGUAACGGCUCACCAAGGCGACGAUGCGUAGCCGACCUGAGAGGGUGAUCGGCCACACUGGGACUGAGACACGGCCCAGACUCCUACGGGAGGCAGCAGUAGGGAAUCUUCCGCAAUGGACGAAAGUCUGACGGAGCAACGCCGCGUGAGUGAUGAAGGUUUUCGGAUCGUAAAGCUCUGUUGUUAGGGAAGAACAAGUGCAAGAGUAACUGCUUGCACCUUGACGGUACCUAACCAGAAAGCCACGGCUAACUACGUGCCAGCAGCCGCGGUAAUACGUAGGUGGCAAGCGUUGUCCGGAAUUAUUGGGCGUAAAGGGCUCGCAGGCGGUUUCUUAAGUCUGAUGUGAAAGCCCCCGGCUCAACCGGGGAGGGUCAUUGGAAACUGGGAAACUUGAGUGCAGAAGAGGAGAGUGGAAUUCCACGUGUAGCGGUGAAAUGCGUAGAGAUGUGGAGGAACACCAGUGGCGAAGGCGACUCUCUGGUCUGUAACUGACGCUGAGGAGCGAAAGCGUGGGGAGCGAACAGGAUUAGAUACCCUGGUAGUCCACGCCGUAAACGAUGAGUGCUAAGUGUUAGGGGGUUUCCGCCCCUUAGUGCUGCAGCUAACGCAUUAAGCACUCCGCCUGGGGAGUACGGUCGCAAGACUGAAACUCAAAGGAAUUGACGGGGGCCCGCACAAGCGGUGGAGCAUGUGGUUUAAUUCGAAGCAACGCGAAGAACCUUACCAGGUCUUGACAUCCUCUGACAACCCUAGAGAUAGGGCUUUCCCUUCGGGGACAGAGUGACAGGUGGUGCAUGGUUGUCGUCAGCUCGUGUCGUGAGAUGUUGGGUUAAGUCCC